rnacentral:tRNA from 1 species
UUAGGAUUUGGUGUAGCUUGGUAGCACGGAGGUUUUUGGACCCUCAGAGUUAGGUUCGAGUCCUAUAGUCCUAG